rnacentral:lncRNA from 1 species
AGCNAAUGAUCUCGAUCACGAUAGAUCUUCACAAUUAGCAGCUGUCAUUUAUCGUUAAAAGUUAUAUUAGACGAGUCUCUACAUAGAGCUUCAUCGACAUCACAUCACAUUUGAUUGAUUUUAACUUGUUUAAUACUUUAUGGGAGUCGAACAAUAUUUUUGUUUCUAAUUUUUCGACACUAGUAGUUUUGACGACUUCAUUCGAAUUUUGGCUCGUAGACACCACGUUGAUGGACCUCUGUAUUUACGCCCUGUCCCUAUUUUACAUGAUCACAAUUUGCAGAUGAAUUUUUUGCCGUCAGAGCGUAUUUUUCUUUCUUGUUUUUAGUUUUCUUUAUUUGAAUGUGAAGAUACAAUUUUUUUAGUUCCCUUGUAUUCAACACGUGUACUUAGAAAUGAAAAAUGAUACCCUACAAAUA